GACGAACCGAGCGAACGUUAUUCGGAAUCACUGGGCUUAAAGGGCGCGUAGGCGGGCGGCCGAGUCCGGGGUGAAAGCCCCCAGCUCAACUGGGGAAGUGCCUCGGAUACUGGUCGCCUCGAGGGAGAUAGGGGCGUGCGGAACUUCCGGUGGAGCGGUGAAAUGCGUAGAUAUCGGAAGGAACACCGGUGGCGAAAGCGGCGUGCUGGAUCUCUUCUGACGCUGAGGCGCGAAAGCCAGGGGAGCGAACGGG
rnacentral:rRNA from 1 species